rnacentral:rRNA from 2 species
UACGAAGGGGGCUAGCGUUGCUCGGAAUCACUGGGCGUAAAGGGUGCGUAGGCGGGUCUUUAAGUCAGGGGUGAAAUCCUGGAGCUCAACUCCAGAACUGCCUUUGAUACUGAAGAUCUUGAGUUCGGGAGAGGUGAGUGGAACUGCGAGUGUAGAGGUGAAAUUCGUAGAUAUUCGCAAGAACACCAGUGGCGAAGGCGGCUCACUGGCCCGAUACUGACGCUGAGGCACGAAAGCGUGGGGAGCAAACA